GUAUCGGCUUUGGAGGGCCAGGGCCGCCGCAGAGUAGGAGUUGCGUGUAGGGGAGAGAGGCGACGUGAGGAGCAGGAGGGAACAUGGGCGGCCGGAGGAGAAGGAGCUUGUGCCGGCGGCCGGGGCAAAGGAGCUGGUGCCGCGGAGGUGGCUGCGGCACGCUUAGGGAUAACGGUACAGUGGACCUCGCAGUACAAGGCCGCAAGGCCAUGGUGGGGCGGGCCGGCCUUGGGUGUGUAAGGAGGACGGCCGCCGAGGGGGCAAGCAGAGUUUCAAGUGGUAGUUAGCUUCUCUAGGAGCCUGCCGGAGAAGAACAAAACCAUUUCGUUAUUGCGGUUUCGCGACGAAACAGCACCGGCCGCCUGAAUGAACCCAACUACCCCAACUUCUUCUCGAGUACCUCGAUGUUUUCUGUGUUCUCGUUUCAAGUCCGUUCAAUUUCUUCUCCGGCGGAAACUCCGCACCUUUCCAGAUAGGGGUUGAAGGACAUGGUCUUGUGUAAGGUUCUGGAAGAAUACACCCACGUUUGUAUGGUGUUCUUGAUGGGCGUCAAGCGGUUUAUGUGUUACGGCUUCCAUAGCGACCCUACUCUCGACGAACGUUUGAACGACGGGCACAUGACCUGAAGCGCCCUUGUAACCAAUUCGGUAGUCAAUGAUGUUUACUUUAGCUGUCCCGCCACGUAGUAUACUAUCAACUCCGCCCACGAAUAGGAAGAGGUGAACCGAUACCACCUAAAGGAUUUUCAUAGACGUGGAGUCAUUUACUCACACAGACGGUACCUGAUGGACUAAGUUGUGUCGACGUCUUACCUCUGUAGUAUUUAUAACUACAUUUACACAAGGAUUUACCCAUGGUACCGCCUUGAAGGUCUUGUAAACAUACGCCUCUUCGCCUACUUAGAUAGUUCGUAAAGGAUUUCCGUCGACUUCUUACGAGCCUCUUCCCAUAAAGACAGACGUCCCUGCCACAUUUGAUGUCUUUUUAACCGUUCUUCUAUUCAUUCGAACGAAUAAAGAUGCCGAUAGUACACCACCUCGCGAAACAACCUGUACCUUAACCUUGAUACAACGUAAGACUCGGUGAAUAGGAGGUAGUACGUUUACUUUUGAGACCAGCUUACCAACUUCCAGUUUGUAAGUGUUAACUUGGAUAUGAAUGUUACCUGUUUCGUCUCACACAAUGUACCCUUUUACCUACCUGAUGACAGUGUCGGCUACCGUCAACCCGUCGUGUCAAACUCGUGUGACAUAACCAGUGAUCCUGCCCGCAUCUCUAUAACUGUUUUGAAACUCAUGUAGGGAACGAUAACAUCAUUCUUCAACAACUCGGUAGAUGAAAGUCUUGCUCCACCAAGUAUUUCGUCGGGGUCGUCGGUCUAGGUGUACACUCUUCGGAGGGGAAAUACAUCGUUGGCCGGUCCCCUAUUUACACCCCUGUACGAUAACGUAACGUUUAAACGUAACGAACACUAGGGCAACACCCCUCUCCAGCACCGAGCUGUUAAAUGGUACCUACAUCAAAGAUCUUCUUAGGGGUCUACACAUAUACACCAUCAAACCAAACGACCUUCAUCAUCCACACCGUACCUAAAUCUUUGCUGCGCCUUUUAAAGAAGUUCAACGGACGGUUACAAACAAGGGCCAAAUUAGUUUUCUUGGUAAACAUCUAAAAAACACUGGGGUUUGAAUUCGAUUUGUGACCGGUGGUCUAUAGAGUGUGGUCAUUCAAAUAUUGAUGUUGUUGUCACUACCGUCGUUCAAAAAAAAAAAUACUACUCACUACCGUUCUUAAAGUUGCGAACGUCCGAUCACACUUAAAGAACCUACUUUUGAAACAAUAAAUAACAACUGCCUCCGUAACCUAACCUCAAACUGUGUUCAAUACCGCAGUCUCAAAGGUACCCUGGGAGCCUCAAUGCGUGAGCUAUAGAAGAUGUCUAAGUAAAGCAAUUACGAUGAUCAUCCUCAUGAUGUACUUUUGUAUACAAAGACACAUAACGUG
rnacentral:rRNA from 1 species